rnacentral:ncRNA from 1 species
UUAAAACCAUUGAAGAGGAAUAGUAGCUGUAUAAAGUUUUAAGAGAGUUAACGUAUGGUGUAAGUUAAUAACAUUAUAUUGUGAAUCCACCUCUGAGGGACUGUGAUAAAAAACAGUACGGGUGACCGUUAUUUUAAUUAAGAUAGGAUCAUUUAUGAUCAACUAGGGUGGCAACGCGGAGCUUUUCGUCCCUUUU